ACUGAGAAAAGAGGCCUUCGGGUCUCCCUCACUAAUACCCCGCCUUCCAACAAAGUCCCUCUGGGGACGUAACUUUGUGUUGGAGGGUCUGAAAAUGACCCUCCACCCCCUAUAAAACUCUGAAUGUUUGUGCAGUCUGAGUAUAUAUUCUAAUAUAUGAA
rnacentral:misc_RNA from 1 species